ensembl:lncRNA
GUCAGGCAGCCGGCGGGCGGUGGAGGUGGGGGCCGCCGCAAACUGCUGCCGGAGCCCCCGGGCAGGGCAGCAGGAGGCACCCCGUGCUGCGGGCAGGCUGCCCAGCCAUGGGGCUCUAUAGGAGCCCUGCUCCACAAGUCUCCUCUGGAGCGGUUCCUAGUCCAUAAGAGCAUUGCUGCUGCCCGACAGCAGGGCCUCGCGGGGAACGUGUGUGUCUGGUGGUGGGGCUGGGGAAUGCUUCUGAGUAUCGCACAGAAAGGCCUGCGUUACGGUUGGAAAUGCGAUAUUCUUCCGGUUUGCUUCCACUCUUGUUUUGUGUCACUGAGGUACCUGGGUCUGUUCAGCCUGGGGAAAAGAAGCCUGAGGAGGGAACUGAUGAAUGUAUAUAAAUAUCUAAAGGGAGAUGGGAGGCAAAUGGAUGAGGGCAGGCUCUUCUCAGGGGUGCGUAGCGAGAGGACAAGGAGCAGCGGUCUCAAACUUGAACGUAGGUGUAGCAGAAAUGCUAUGUCACAGCUUGGAACAGUGAUUGAGCACCGGGUGGGAAGGCAGGGCCAACCCAGGAGAGCUCAGGUGCAUGCAACGUACCUGAGUGACUGGAAGGGCUGGAGCCAAGAUGCAACCCUUCCCAGACCUCAUGUAAGGGUUGGCAGUGGAGGCAAGGAUACCUCAUCUGGAGAUCCCUGCACACCUGAGACCUUCUGAAGUGAAAGAAGUGAGAGGAUAUUUCUCUAGCAAGUACUUCCAUGAGCCUGCAGACGAAGCAAGAUACUCAAACUGUAGAACUGUGAAUGCUGGUGGACAGCACUCUUUCUAAUGUCCUUUCUGUCCUGAAAUGUGGACACGCUGGUGCUUCAGGCCUGUAGGUGCUGGAGAAUGUGUGGUGUUCUGGGCACCUUCCCACCUGGAG